GCAGAAACAGGAGCACCUCUAUGACUUUAUUGACGACAACAUGCCAACCACACAACCUGGUGACCAACUAAACACACAGGAAACCGUCUACCACCUGGCAACUUUUUCAGGAGUCCGGAUCACAGAUUACCAGCAGAGUGCGCAAGAGGCCACAGAACCCCUGAAAAACAACCAAACACAGACGGUAAACACACAAAACUCAC